rnacentral:rRNA from 1 species
CAAUAGCGUAUAUUAAAGUUGUUGCAGUUAAAAAGCUCGUAGUUGGAUUUCGGGAUGGCCCGGCCGGUCUGCCGCAAGGUAUGUUACUGGCCGAGCUGUUCUUCUUCGCAAAGACUGUGUGUGCUCUUAACUGAGUGUGCUCAGGGUCUGUGACGUUUACUUUGAAAAAAUUAGAGUGUUCAAAGCAAGCCAGCGCUUGAAUACAUAAGCAUGGAAUAAUGGAAUAGGACUUUGGUUCUAUUUUGUUGGUUUCUGGAACCUUAGUAAUGAUUAAGAGAGACAGUUGGGGGCAUUCGUAUUUCGUUGUCAGAGGUGAAAUUCUUGGAUUUACGAAAGACGAACUACUGCGAAAGCAUUUGCCAAGAAUGUUUUCAUUAA